rnacentral:rRNA from 1 species
UACGGGGGGGGGCAAGCGUUGUUCGGAAUUACUGGGCGUAAAGGGCGCGUAGGCGGCCGCCUAAGUCAGACGUGAAAUCCCUCGGCUCAACCGGGGAACUGCGUCUGAUACUGGGUGGCUUGAAUCCGGGAGAGGGAUGCGGAAUUCCAGGUGUAGCGGUGAAAUGCGUAGAUAUCUGGAGGAACACCGGUGGCGAAGGCGGCAUCCUGGACCGGCAUUGACGCUGAGGCGCGAAAGCCAGGGGAGCAAAGCGGG